rnacentral:lncRNA from 1 species
GUAUUCUGCACGGACUGCUGGGCAGCACUAGCACUCUGGAGAAGGUCUGCCGCUGUCUGCACUUUCCUGGUUCUAUGCAGGCAGAUGAGUGUCACAGCUGUAACUGAGGCACAGAGCAGUACACACAGUGGAGCCGAUUUCCGCGAUGGCGAGAGGGGGCACCGGAGGUGACAACAAUAACAAGACUGUCCUUCGGACAAGUUUUAGCGCUGAAUAUCUUCAGGAAAAUGGGUUCCAUGAGAAGUGACAUCCUCCUCGAAUCAAAAGGAAGAAUGACUUGGGCAAUACCAAAUGUUGAGUUAUCAAGUAUUUCGAUACCCAUAUGCAUCAUCUGCUGUAAGUAUUCUCAGGAUGAUGGAGUGAGUGAUGGAAUAGGUUGCCAACUGUAGUUACUCCACUCAGCACAGAAUGGCUGCGGGGAAAUAUAAUCAGACAUGCCCAAAGAAGUCUGCUUAGGGUGAAACAAAUACCUUUGAGGUUUAAAUCAGAAAGGAAGGAGAGACUGUUUCUACAGGUGUCAUACAAAAAUCAAUACUGAGCCAAGGAUUAUUGGAUCCCAUAGAACCACGGAGACUUGGUAGUGAAAUUCUUCCAAAGCAUUCCAUCCGUGCAGGCAGAUGGUGUUCCUAGGUUUGGAAAUAUAAAUCCCAUGGGAAGUCAGCUGAAGACCAUUUUAUGCAUCACUCAUCCUGUUAGAGCCCUGUGCUGUUCUGUCUCUCUAUAAGACUGGCUGAAACCACCACGGUUGUUUACAAUUUAUGCUCUAACUUUGGAUCACCUAGUUAAUACUCUAACUCCGAUUAUUACCAAAGACAAUGUUCUAUAAAAGAUAUUGUCUAUUAGAAGGAUGCUUCUGCAUUAUUAAUAAAAUCACAGGGAAAAUGCAACAUUUUGGAUGUCACAUCUGAUAAGUGGGUGACUGAUCGUACCCGCCAGCUGGCUAAUGUCAUAAUUAACAAAGUUGCUACUACAUCUGCAAAGUUUAAUCGAAAAAUUUGCCAGUGAUAUGAUGGCCUUGUCACAGAGAUCACAAGGGACACGGAGUUGACUUUUGCUCAAGGUGGAACGACAGAGCUGUGUAGGCAAGAUGAGAAAUUGCGAACUUGUUCGGCCAAAGGAGGCUAAUAAUGAAGGGGCCGGGAAGGAGGCCAGUGCUACCAGGGUUAUCUCACAACCUCAGAUGCUGGAUAAGUCGACGGAGGCAGAAUCGCUUUGGGAUGACAUUCAGAAAGCCUGGAGUGAUUACUUGCAAGAGAAAAGCCUACCUAUUCUUUCCAAGGUGCAGGAAUAUUCCCCUGACCUGCUCAUCCAGUGGUCCAGUAAUGAAUUACUGGAGACCUGCCUUAGACAAAGAAUGCACUCGGAGCCCCAACACACCUAAAGCCAUGCUUUGAAGGAUCUGCCAAGCUCACUUUUAAUCAUGAGAAAGAAAUUACCCACACGGAGUCAGCAGAAAAUGAGAAAGUAGAGCUCGUGCUGUGAAUAAUUCCAGCAAGUGCCAAGGGGCUAGUUGAGGAAUGGCUUCAUGAGAACAUGCUCUAGGGGAACUAUUAAUAGCCCACCAGUCGGGUAGGCAGCAUUCAAUCCUUCUAUGCCUUCUUUCGCCACCUGUUGAGGUCUUUCUUCUGAAACAAAGAAGAAAUAGACAAAUCAGACUUGCCCUCUUGGAAAUGUGGUCCAGAUUUCUCUACUCCCAAGCUCCAAAAAAGGUAUACAUUGGAUGGGCUAGAUCAACUCCUCCUGAGAGCCAUAAAUCCGCCAAGAGUUGUUUUCCAUGUAAGGGUGUGGUACAAUGGGGAACACCUGAUGUUGGAGGAAAGCAGGAGGACUUUAGAGUGGAGUUGCAUUCUAAUCUCUCUGCCGCUUCAACUAUGUGACCUGGGGCAAAUGAUAUAAACUCUAUGAGCCUCUUUCCUUAUCUUUAAAAUGAAGAGAAGUAAUACCUACCUUGUAGGGCUGUUGUGAGGAUUAAAUGAAGUAAUGCAUACAGUGCCUAACAAAGUAUUUAACAUCAUAUUUUUUAAAAGCUCAUGAAAUAUUAGUUUUUCUUCCUUCCCCUCUUUCUAUUUUCUCUCCUGUUCCCUUUUCUCUCCCUCCUCUGCCCUCUCCUUCCUUCAGAUGUUAGUCUAAAACAGCACCUUGGAUCUAAGCAGCACCUUUGAGAAAGAAAAGACUGCUUCAAGAAUGUCUAGUUGCACCUCCUUUCCGUAUGUGGCCUAAAUGCCUAGGUUGGAUCAAUAGUUUAAUUUUUUUAUUGAACUGUUUAAUAUUGACUAUGGACUUACAUUCACUUUUACUGUUUUCUGUAUAUUUACUUUUGCUUGAAGUGUUUUAAUAUUGACUAUUUACCUCUGCUCAUUUUUAUUGAUUUUCUGUAUUUUUUCAAUGAAAAUUAUAAUAAAAAUUAUUUUUGUUA